GGUUUGUUUACAAACCGCAUACAAUAAUGCGAUGUUUGCCGAAAGGCAAACUCGUCAGCUAAACAGAGAGGUGCCAUUUGCACCGAACUGUUUAGCACUU
rnacentral:sRNA from 1 species